GACAGAGGGUGCGAGCGUUGUUCGGAAUUACUGGGCGUAAAGCGCGUGUAGGCGGCAACGCAAGUCGGGCGUGAAAUCCCACGGCUCAACCGUGGAAGUGCACUCGAAACUGCGUAGCUAGAGUCCUGGAGAGGAAGGUGGAAUGCUUGGUGUAGAGGUGAAAUUCGUAGAUAUCAAGCGGAACACCGGUGGCGAAGGCGGCCUUCUGGACAGUGACUGACGCUGAGACGCGAAAGCGUGGGGAGCAAACAGG
rnacentral:rRNA from 1 species